AUGGCCCUGAAUCAAGGCCGGCAGUUUUCUGAUGCUGUUGGUUUCAAGCAGGAGCCUAAAGUAGUAUCUUUCUGUGGUCUGUUGACUAUUUCAGAACUUCAGACAUGUAAUCGUCAAUUCAUUAGAAAGAAACAGCU
ensembl:snoRNA